ACGAGCGCUGGCGGCAUGCCUAACACAUGCAAGUCGAACGCCCCGCAAGGGGAGUGGCGCACGGGUGAGUAACGCGUGGGGAUCUGCCCAUCGGUGGGGAAUAACCUCGGGAAACUGAGGCUAAUACCGCAUACGCCCUGUAAAGGGGAAAGAUUUAUCGCCGAUGGAUGAACCCGCGUCCGAUUAGCUUGUUGGUGAGGUAAUGGCUCACCAAGGCUUCGAUCGGUAGCUGGUCUGAGAGGAUGACCAGCCACACUGGGACUGAGACACGGCCCAGACUCCUACGGGAGGCAGCAGUGGGGAAUAUUGCGCAAUGGGGGAAACCCUGACGCAGCGACGCCGCGUGGGUGAAGAAGGCCUUAGGGUUGUAAAGCCCUUUCAGUGGGAAAGAUUGUGACGGUACCCACAGAAGAAGCUCCGGCUAACUCCGU
rnacentral:rRNA from 1 species